CGUUUUCCGUCCAAUCGUGCGACCGCCACUAGACACAAAGAAGAAGCGGGAGCACACGGAGAAAGACGAAGAAGAAGACGGCGGCGGUUAGCAGUUAGCAUUUAGCUCCGCGGGUUACGUCGAGGACAGUCUCUGUCCAAUGAGAAGAGAGACGUCCUCAACCCGCUGAUAACAGGCGUCUUCUUAGAGGCGUCCCACAGCGCCUCCUACAUCCAGGAUGCGUUCCAGCUCCUCAUGCCCAUCCUGGAGAUUUCUCACAUCCAGAGGACGGCUGACUCCGCGGAGCAGUGACCUCACGAUGUCUCCUCCGCCCUCCAACGCCGCCCCGGCUCCAGGACUCUGUCACAGCCGAUAACUGACACAUCUGGAAAACUUUUAAAAAGUCGCCGUGUCAGUGUUUACUCUGUUUUCCAGCUCAGGACAAAAUCAAUUUCACGCCUGGGAGGAAAAAGUGUGUUCUUGUCAAACAGUGUUAUAGUUUUUGUGCUUUGCAGGUUUAUUUGUGAAGCACGUUACAAGGACUCGUUGCAACACUCGUUGUUGUGGAAGGGAAACAAAAUGUGUUUAUGAUAAACAAGGUUCAACUUAUGGUUCUUUUAUUCCAACGUCUGCACUUUUUUCUGACAGAACCUGUCGUCUGGAUUCUGCCUCAAAGAACAAUCGACUUGUAAAAUGUCCAACAUGAUGGAGACACCACUGGGAAUUUGUUAAAAACAAACAAAGGUGUGUCUGAACUAAAUAAAUAUUAACAGAUGUAUUUGGUUUUCUAUGCAGAUGUUUCUUAAAUCAUGUCAUCCAAUAUAUUUAUUUGUCCUGGAGCUGAAGGUUAUUUUUCUUUGAGGACACAGAGAAGGACUGAAAGUUUAGUUUUAACAUGUGUUAGUCAGGCCUCUGAGGGAAAAGACACUAGUGACAGCUUCGUGUGUUCAAAUGACAAACACGUUCCUUUCAGACUUGUUCUGUUUAAAAGACGAGAAACUUGAGGAAAAUGUUCCUGAUUUAAUCUGAACAUCCACUAAAAGAACUUAAAGAGGCUCAGAUCUUUAUUUACACAGAAGAAAUAGUAUAUAGAUUCAUUUCUUUUAAGAAUUGUGCAACACUUUAUUCUGCUAAAAACCUAAAUUCCCCUCCCCAUCUUCUCCUCGAUUAAACUCUUUCCCCUCCGAGAGCUGGGACCUUGAGCACAUCACUUUUAAUCUCGUUAAAGAAAAGCAAAACAUUGUGAUUGAUGCAAUAUCUAAGAGUAUGUCACUGAGAGUCCUGCUUCUUAUGUGACUAAACCUCUUGUAAAUGUCCAAUGUCCACCAGGAGAAAUAUCCAUCUCUUCAUUGUAAUCUUAUAUUCAGAACUUCAGGUGUUUACGUAUCCGACAGAGAAGCUUCUAUCUGCUAUGAAGAUUAUUAUGAUCGUCUCUUUUUUAGCAAGUUACCUUCAGGUGGAUCGUUGGUUUUAUAUUAAACUGCAUCAGCCGUGUGACGUGGACAUGAUGAGUGAUCGUCUUUCAGCAUCAUACUGUACCCCAGGUGUUCGAGACUUUCAAAUAAAUGCUCUUUCACAUGG